rfam:Cytophagales bacterium MC1A Contig_16, whole genome shotgun sequence.
GGGGCUGACCGGAAUUGACAGCUCGUGCAGGUCGCGAGUAAGCGUGUCGAGAGUUGGGUGAAUCUCUCGCCAACAAAUCAUCCGAACAACAACUGGCGAGUAUAGCUACGCCAUGGCUGCCUAGUCUAGGUACUAAGCAAUAGCCAUCAUCCCGCAUCCGUCUGCCUUAUCACGGAUGAGCACGGGGUGUCGAAAGAAUAAGGAUUGCCUAGGUGGCGCUGCGACGCCUAGGUGAACCUCUAGCAGAUAAGGGUAACUCACAGGCCUGACGGGCGCCUAGGUUACCUCGAACAAAUUAAGCUCGGAUACACACGUAGAAAGCUCGACGGUCUCCUUGUCUGGACCAGGGUUCGACUCCCUGCAGCUCCACAA